AACGAACGCUGGCGGCAGGCUUAACACGUGCAAGUCGAGCGCCCCGCAAGGGGAGCGGCAGACGGGUGAGUAACGCGUGGGAACGUACCUUUUGGUUCGGAACAACUCCGGGAAACUGGAGCUAAUACCGGAUAAGCCCUAACGGGGAAAGAUUUAUCGCCGAAAGAUCGGCCCGCGUCUGAUUAGCUAGUUGGUGAGGUAACGGCUCACCAAGGCGACGAUCAGUAGCUGGUCUGAGAGGAUGAUCAGCCACACUGGGACUGAGACACGGCCCAGACUCCUACGGGAAGCAGCAGUGGGGAAUAUUGGACAAUGGGCGCAAGCCUGAUCCAGCCAUGCCGCGUGAGUGAUGAAGGCCUUAGGGUUGUAAAGCUCUUUUGUCCGGGAAGAUAAUGACUGUACCGGAAGAAUAAGCCCCGGCUAACUUCGUG
rnacentral:rRNA from 1 species